CUUCCUGUGCUGAAGUAUGUGAGAGGUGAUCACCUGUCUCAAGAUCACUGGCUGGAUCUGUUCAGAUUGCUCAACCUCUCCAAAGGAACCACGCUGGAGAAACUCUUGUUCAAAGAUGCUGACCGUCUCACACACCAUCAUAGAUCGAGCCUUGGACCUAAAGGACCUGAAAAGCCGUGCUCAUGCAGAGGUUAGUAUCUGUGAGGUGCUGCGUGAGGUGGAGCUGUGGGCUGCUUUAGCAUGUUUCUCUCUCACUGAGUACACCAACAGCACCGGCACUCACAUCAGCCUCAUUCGCGAGUGGAGAGACGUCAUGAAUCAGGUUGGAGAUAAUCGGUGUCUGCUGCAGUCUCUGAAGGACUCACCAUAUUAUCAGCGCUUCCAGGACAAGGUGUCAUUGUGGGAGACUCGUCUCACUGAUCUCGAUGACUUCCUGCAGAGCCUCAACAGCAUCCAGAGGAAGUGGUUCUACCUUGAGCCCAUAUAUGGGCGUGGUGCAUUGCUGUGAGAACAGGCCCGCCUGCACAGGGUGGACCAGGACUUCAGGGCCGUCAUGUCGGAUGUGCAGAGAGACACCAGAGUGACGUCUCUAACCACACGAGCGGGAAUGAGAAAUGCUUUGAAUACACUGCAGGAUCAGCUACAGUGCUGUCAGAAAUCCCUCAAUGAUCUCCUUGAGGAGAAACAUUCUGCUUUCCUCGUUUCUAUUUUAUCGGCGAUGACGACCUGCUGGAGAUACUGGGCCAAGCCACAAAUCCCACUGUUAUCUAGACACAUCUGAAGAAGCUGUUUGCAGUGUGGACUUUGAUUCAAGCUGCUGCAGAAUCACAGCCAUGAAGUCACUAGAAGAAGAGUCUGUCCCUCUGAGGAACACAAUCACCAUCUCUAAUGAUGUAGAGGUGUGGCUCGGUGAACUGUCCUCAGAAAUGAAGGAGACGUUGAAGUUCCUGUUGUGUGAGUGUGUGAAGGCAGUAAAGGGAGGUGGCGUUGACCCCAACCACUUCCCCUCACAGAUCCUAUGCCUGGCUGAACAGAUACAGUUUACACAGGACGUAGAAAGCACCAUUCGUGAGCAGAACCUUCACCAACUGGAGCUGGAGCUCACAGCUAAACUAGAGCACUACACCGACACAAACGCCCGCAUAGAGUCUACAGAGUCCAGUGUGCUUCAGUUGAAGCUGAAAGCUCUGAUCCUGGAUGUGAUCCACAACCUGUCGGUGGUGCAGGAGCUGCUGGAGGUUCAGGUUCACAGUGCAGAUGAUUUCAUGUGGAAGAAACAGCUGCGUUUCUACCUGAACACUGAUCAGUGCUGCACUGGACACAUGGUGGAUGCAGUGUUUAACUACACCUACGAAUACCAGGGUAAUGCCCCUAAGCUAGUGCACACUCCUCUAAUGGAUGGAGUGCUACCUUACGCUAACUCAGGCUAUGAGGGUGGGUUUAGGAGGAAACCCAUACGGGCCAGCAGGAACCGGAAAACCGAGUCUGUUAAAGCACUCGGAGGACUGCUGGGCAGACAGGUGCUGGUGUUCAACUGUGAUGAGGUGGAGCUAGACCCAAACUCUGGUGUGUUCAUCACUUUGAAUCCUGCCAGCAAAGGCUAUGGAGGGAGACAGAAACUUCCAGACAAUCUCAAGCAACUUUUCCGUCCGGUUGCCAUGACAACCCCUGAUAACGAGCUCAUUGCUGAGGUCAUCCUUUACUCUGAGGGCUUCAAACAGGGGAAAGAGCUUGCACGCAAACUCACGGCUGUGUUCAACACACACACACACACACAAACACACACACACACAGACAUACACACACACACAGAGACACACACGCACACACAUACAGACGCACAUACACACACAGAGACACACACAUACAGACACACAUACACACACACAGACACGCACGCACACACACACAGACACACACAAAAACAUUAUUCCAAUACACAUUUCUUGUGGCUUCAGUCAGAUUGUUCCAAAAUAGAUCCCAGCUGAGGAUAAGCAGCAUUUGAGGUUCUUGUGCCAAUCUUGUGCAUUUGAGGUUCUUGUGCCAGUAUCACUAGGGAUUACAGUUUUCAGAUGUUGUUGGUAUUUUUGUUGUUUAUGUGUGUGUAGAGAGCUAUUGACCCCUCAGCAGCAUUAUGACUGGGGGCUGCGUGCGCUGAAGACGGUGCUGAAAGGCUGUGGGAAUUUAUUACAGCUACAGAGGAAACAGCACUUACAAGUGUUGUUAGUGUGUUAGUGGUGCAGGCUCUCAGGUUGAACACACUCUCAAAGCUGACAUUCUCAGACAGCACUCGCUUCUACGCCUUGCUCAGAGACAUCUUUCCUGCUGUGGAACUCGACGAAGUGCACUACGAAGAGCUGAAGGCUGCUCUACUGGGUGCUUAUGAAGAAGCACAGCUUCUCUGUCUCUGUCACUCUUUCUCUCCCUCUCUCUCUCUAGGGGGAGUGUGUGGUAGAGACUAGUCUGGUAGGUGCUGAAUGGUUUGUCCCAUUUGAGGGGUGUGAGUGAGUGGGGAGAGGAAAUCUGCAGCUAAAAUCACGACAGGAGUUUGCCAAGCAGGUCAGAGCAUCGUGCGCAUUUGGGUUGUCAUUUUGUUAAUUCAACAAUACACAUUUCAACAAUUUCAACAAUACACACACAUUCCGCGUCAUACACACUCCACAUACACAGCAGGCUCUACAGAACUUCACACACUGGCUGUCGAGACACAUACCAGAGGGCUGUGGCAAGGGGUACAACACACACACAAUAAUACACAUGAGAGUUUAUUUGCAAUUAUGUCAUAUUUACAUCUGAGUAACAUAUACAGUAACCUUUAUAAUGUUUGUGUUAUUAUACUUAUUAAAAACACUGAAAGUGUACAAAAACAAGUGAAACAUGUAUGUUUGUUUUGUGUCUGUUUGUCUGUCUGUGCGUGUUUCGCUGUGUGUGUGCGUGUGUGUGUGUCUGUGUGUGUGUGUUUGUGUUUUUGUGUGUGUGUGCACAGAAUGUUGUUGCGUUAUGUGUUUUCUAGGCUAAGAUCCACUCAGGUGGCAGUGAUUCACUGCAGUGCUCAGACAACAUCGCGACACGUCCUGCAGAAACUCACUCAAACAUGCGUGUGCAUCAGCUCCAACACACACCAAGUGUACCGGCCACGUGACUGCUAGCGGCUUGUCCUCUACCUCAAAGACAUCAACCUCCCCAAACCAGACAAGUGGGGAACCAGCAACCUGAUCACUUUCCUUCAACAGGGUAAGCUCUGCCCCUGCACACCUGCGGCCCAUUUCUGAUUGACGCGCCGGGUGGGGAUAAAAGGGGGGCCGACGUCGUACCCCAGGGGGAAGAACUCCUGUCGCCAGGCCACUGCGACUACCAGUCUUUAGCUCUCUGUGAGAGCGGUACAUACUUGAGGGGAAGCUCUUUUUGGCCGUCAGAUUUGUGCUGACGACCGGUGGUGUUGAACUGAGCUUCGUGUGUGCGUCUUCUUGCCCAGCCAUUGCUGAUACGCUGUGUCCUUUUCUGGGUUCAUUUGUUUUCUUCUUUUGUUUUUGUGUAUGUGUUUGGGGUGUGUUUUAUGUGAUAAUUCCUAGUUGCCCGUGAUGCAUGAGUGCAGCUAAAUAAUAAACCGACAAAACUGUCCUUUUUGACUUGCGUGUCCUUUAAUGUUACUUGCCCCCUCCUCUACGAGCAUUAUUGAAAGUGGGGGUUCGUAACAAAGUCAAAAUUCAAAUAUCAAACGUGGGUCAAAACAAAACAUCACUGUUCUACUUGAAAUAUUUACUCGACACCGUCUAGACACAGGCCUCACUGUAAAUGGGAUCAUUUGAACAGCUAUGUUAGAUUACAUGUAUAUAA